rnacentral:rRNA from 1 species
AGAACGAACGCUGGCGGCAGGCCUCAAACAUGCAAGUCUAGGGGGGUGCAGCAAUGCAUCACCGGCGGACGGGUGCGUAACACGUGGGAAUAUACCUUUUGGUUCGGAACAACGCAGGGAAACUUGCGCUAAUACCGAAUGUGCCCUUACGGGGGAAAGAUUUAUCGCCAAAGGAUUAGCCCGCGUAGGAUUAGCUAGUUGGUGAGGUAAUGGCUCACCAAGGCUCCGAUCCUUAGCUGUUCUGAGAGGAAGAUCAGCCACACUGGGACUGAGACACGGCCCAGACUCCUACGGGAGGCAGCAGUUGGGAAUCUUGGACAAUGGGGGAAACCCUGAUCCAGCCAUGCCGCGUGAGUGAUGAAGGCCUUCGGGUUGUAAACUCUUUCGACGGGACGAUAAUGACGGUACCCGUAGAAGAAGCUCCGGCUAACUUCGUGCCAGCAGCCGC